rnacentral:rRNA from 1 species
AGUCACUGACAUUAGAUACCCGCGUAGUCCUAGCCGUAAACGAUACUCGCUAGGUGUCGGCCACGGUGCGACCGUUGUCGGUGCCGUAGGGAAGCCGUGAAGCGAGCCACCUGGGAAGUACGGCCGCAAGGCUGAAACUUAAAGGAAUAGGCGGGGAGCACCACAAGAGGUGGAGGCUGCGGUUCAAUUGGACUCAACGCCGGAAAACUCAUCGGGAGCGACAGCAGUAUGAUUGCCAGGUUGAUGACCUUGCUUGACAAGCUG